GGACGAACAGACAUGUAGUUGUAACCAGACAAGUUGGACACACAGGAACAGAGGGGUUUAGGGCCCUGCUCAAUGAGCUUAUAUGCUAGAGGGAGUGGGGUAAAAUGACACAGAAAGGUAAGGAUAGUAUUAGACUAAUGACAGUUGUAGAAGAGGAAUCAGUCAGGAGCUAUUAACAGUUUAAGUGAUACACUUUUAUGAAGAAGUGGGUUUUUAAUGAUUUUUUGAAGGAAUGGAGACUGGGUGAGCAUCUAACAGAGGAGGGAAGCGAGUUCCACAGGAACGGUGCAACCCUCGAGAAAUCUUGAAGGCGAGCAUCAGAGGUGGGAGUACGGACAGAAGAUAGACGUAAGCCUUCAGCAGAUCGUAAGGGCCUAGACGGGACAUACUUGUGUAUAAGGGAGGAUAGAUAGGUGGAAGCAGCAUUAUGUAGCGAUUUGAAAGCAAGAACCAGAAUUUUAAAUUCUAGGAAGCCAGUGUAGGGAUUGACAGAAGGGUGAGGAAUGGGAGGUGCGGGCGGACAGAAAGAUGAGCCUUGCAGCCGCAUUCAUUAUGGACUGUAACGGUGCUAGUUGGGAGCACGUAAGACCACUGAGAAGCGGAUUACAGUAGUCAAGGCGAGAAAGGACAGUGGAAUGGACCAACACCUUAGUCGCAUCUGGCGUUAAGUAGGGGCGGAUGCGCGCAAUGUUUUUUAGAUUGAAAUGACAGGAUUUGGCGAUAGAUUGAACAUGAGGCUUGAAGGAGAGGUCGGAGUCAAAGAGAACACCUAGGCAGCGAGCCUGCGUGGUGGAGCUGAUGGUAGAACCGUUGACUUGGAGGGAGGCAGACACAGGAGUAACAACACUCGAGGGAGGAAAGACCAGAAUUUCAGUUUUGGUCAAGUUUAGUUUAAGGAAGUGGGCAGCCAUCCAGUUAGAAACAGCAGAGAGGCAGUCAGAGACACUAGUCAAGAGGGACGGGAGAGAUCAGGAGAGGACAGGUAGAUUUGCGUGUCAUCUGCAUAGAAAUUAUAUUGGAAGCCAAAGGAGCUAAUGAGUUUACCAAGGGAGGCAGUAUAGAUGGAGAACAGUAGGGGACCAAGGACUGAACCUUGGGGGACACCAACAGAGAGGAGUUGGGGAUAAGAAGCAGAGCCAGAGAAAGAAACACUGAAAGAGCGCUGGGAGAGGUAGGAGGAGCACCAGGAGAGAGCAGUAUCUUGUAGACCGAUAUUGCAGAGGAUGAGAAGAAGCUGUUGAUGAUCAACAGUGUCAAAAGCCGCAAGCAGGUCAAGGAGAAUUAGGAUACAGAAGUGACCACGAGAUUUUGCAGCGAGUAGAUCAUUGGAUACUUUGAUCAGUGCCGUUUCCACAGAGUGCUUAGCGCGGAAACCAGACUGAAGCGGGUCUAGCAGAGAGUUGGACUCGAGGAAGUCUGUCAAUCUCGCAUACACAAUUUUUUCAAGGAUCUUGGAUGCAAAAGGCAGUAGCGAGAUAGGACGAUAGUUGGAUGGGGAGUUAGGGUCAAGAUUGGGCUUCUUUAGAAUUGGGGUUACAGUUGCAUGUUUGAAGGGCAAUGGAAAUAUACCAGAGGAGAGAGAGAGAUUGAGGAUUUUAGUGAGAGGUGGAGAAGGAGAAGAAGACAGAGUACGGAUGAGAUGCAAGGGAAUUGGAUCUAGGGAGCAGGUGGUGGGGCUGGAGGACUGGAGCAGAGCAGAAACUUCUUCCAAUGUAGCAGGUGUGAAUGAACAUAGAACGGCAGAAGGAGUGAAGUUAGGGGAAAUAUUGUAAGAGGAAGAAGAAAGAUGAGAUAUCUCUUCUCUGAUUGUAGAGAUCUUGUCAGUGAAGUGAGUUGCAAAGUCUGAGGCGGUCAAGUUAGUAGGUGGAGGAGGAACAGCAGGGGGAAGAAGAGAAUUAAAUGUGUGAAAUAGUCAUUUGGGUUCACGGGAGAGUGUGGUAAUGCGGGUAUUGAAGUAAUUAACUUUUGCAGAGGAAAGAGCCAAGCUGUAUGAGCUCAGCAUAAAUUUAUAGUGGAGAAAGUCAGAUGCACAGUGAGACUUUCUCCAACAGCAUUCAGCAGUUCUGGAGCAUUUUUGGAGGUAUCGAGUGAGCUUGGUGUGCCAGGGUUGUUGUUGGGGGGGCCUGAGGCGUUUAAAUGUACAAGGUGCCAUGAUGUCUAGUUGAGAGGAGAGGGUGGAAUUGUAGAAGGAGGUUGCAGAACUAGGACAGGUGAGGUUUGAGAUAGGUAAAAUGAGAGUUUGGAGAUUAGUGGAGAAAUGCUCUAGGUCAAGACAUUGGAGGUUUCUGUGAGAUUGAUGUUCAGACGGUGGUGUCAAUUGGGUCUUAGGGAUGCCAAUGUCAAAAGUCAGCAGAUGGUGGUCAGAUAGAGGAAGGGGAAUAUUGUAGAGUUUAGAGGCAGUACAGAGGUUGGUGAAGGCAAGAUCAAGAGUGUUUCCCGCUGUAUGGGUUGCUAGAUUGGACCAUUGCGUAAGGCCAAAGGAGGAGGUUACAGAAAGCAGACGAGAGGCAUCAGUGCAAUUGGGGUUAUUGAUUGGGAUAUUGAAAUCCCCAAGUAUAAGGGAAGGAGUGCUAGAUGACAGAACGUGGGGAAGCCAGGAAGAAAAGUGCUCAAUGAAUAGUCUAGGAUAACCGGGGGGGGGGGGCGGUAGAUAAUAGCAAUUCUUAAAGGAGUGGGUUUAAAUAGGCGGACAGUGUGAACUUCAGAAGAAGAAAAGGAUAGGGCAGGGGGAGUUAUGAUUGGCUGAAAGGUACAUUGAGGGGAGAGAAGGAUGCCUACGCCGCCUCCUUUACAGUUGAG
rnacentral:lncRNA from 1 species